rnacentral:rRNA from 1 species
AACGCGAAGAACCUUACCUGGGCUUGACAUGCAGGAAGUAGAAACCGGAAACGGCAACGACCUGUUAAGUCAGGAACCUGCACAGGUGGUGCAUGGCUGUCGUCAGCUCGUGCCGUGAGGUGUUGGGUUAAGUCCCGCAACGAGCGCAACCCUCACUCUAUGUUGCCAUCGGGUAAUGCCGGGCACUCUUAGGGAACUGCCGGCGAAGAGCUGGAGGAAGGGGGGAUGACGUCAAGUCCGUAUGCCCCUUAUGUCCAGGGCUACACACAUGCUACAAUGGCCGAUACAGAGGGUUCCCAACCCGCAAGGGGGAGGCAAUCCCACAAAGUCGGUCUCAGUUCGGAUUGCAGGCUGCAACUCGCCUGCAUGAAGUCGGAAUCGCUAGUAAGCGCAGAUCAGCAGGCUGCGCUGAAUACGUUCCCGGGCCUUGUA